rnacentral:rRNA from 1 species
GACAGAGGUGGCGAGCGUUGUUCGGAAUUACUGGGCUUAAAGGGCGAGUAGGCGGUGGAGCAAGUCUGAGGUGGAAUCCUACGGCUUAACCGUAGAACUGCCUUGGAAACUGUUUUACUUGAGUCAGUGAGGGGAGGGCGGAAUUCCUGGUGUAGCGGUGAAAUGCGUAGAUAUCAGGAGGAAGGCCUGUGGCGAAAGGGGCCCUCUGGCACUGUACUGACGCUGAGUCGCGAAAGCGUGGGGAGCAAACAGG